UCACCUGAGAAAGAAACAUGAUGGUAACGAAGAGCAAUCAGUGACUUUAGUUAUAGAUGAAGAGCCCGAGGACUGUAAAAUAACUGUACCAGAACUGUACGGAAUGGAGCCUAUCGUCUAUCAAAGCUUUGCGGACACCUGGUUACCUGGCCGCCAACCUCAUGAAUUUUCCCUUGGACCUCGUUUUCAAAAUGUUAUUUUUACCAUGUCUGCUUCCCGAAACUGACUGAUCGAUACAAGAUUCAACUCGGUUGUUACCAGCACCGGCGCGUUAUCUAAAACAAGAAAUGUUUUUUUUUAA